CCCAAUGACACAGAUUAGCAACUCAUCAUUGUUUUACUGUCUUAAAAUAUUGCCCAGUGCCGAAGAAUUGAAGUGAUGAAGGCACUGAGAUGUGUCCGAGGGAAGAAGUGGAACUUAACCCAGGAUUCCUUGAUUCCAAGGCUCAUGCAGUGGUCAGCUACUCUAUACUAAUUAAUCAUCAGAAGGAGAUGAUACUCUUCUCUUCUUCAAGUAUAUCUUUGCUGUUAAGACAUCCCAAGAACAUUCCUCAGUCCAAGAGAAAUAGCCUUUGACAUCUAUCAGUUCAGUCAUUCUAUUCCACCCCAGUUGCAGGAAAAUGUGUGAGAAAACUAAGGUCCAGUGAAGUGACAUGACACAAGUCAGUACCAGAAGCUGGAGUUGAAUUCCAGUCCUCUCAAUCCAUUGCUAGCAUGUUUAAGGUAGGACUUAACUCUGAUCUUUCCACCUAGCACAUUAGCAUUUAAUCCACUAUAAUGC
rnacentral:lncRNA from 1 species